GAAAUGGGGGUUGAAGUGAACAUGAUUUUGUUGACCAUGUCCGUGAUUUCUAGAUGCAACAUGCAUUGGUAGACUUGUGCGAUGGUCUUUUGUGAUACUUAAUUUUUACAUAUCCCAGUCUCUGUAUGUAUCUGCAUAAACAAAGAUAAAACACUGCUUUCUUUUAUUGAAGGGUUUCCAGGACUGCGUGUCUGUUCCUGAGCUCUGUUUUAAGUAUGUGUAUCCUUUGCUUGUAUUUUGUAUU
rnacentral:lncRNA from 1 species